GUGAAUGGUUUAUUCUAAUUUAACAACACAGAUUAUUGCAAUUUUGAGGACAAGAGCAGAAGGCGGCGAGCAGACGGGCAAUUUUCCACGAAGUUACUUGCCUAGGCAAUCAUAGGUUCUCCAAAGGCCGCCUAGUACAUCAUGCAAAAUGCUGGGCUGGAUGAAUCACAAACUGGAAUUAAGAUUGCC